rnacentral:rRNA from 1 species
AAAAUUGAGAGUUUGAUCCUGGCUCAGGACGAACGCUGGCGGCGUGCUUAACACAUGCAAGUCGAGCGAUGAAGCUUCCUUCGGGAAGUGGAUUAGCGGCGGACGGGUGAGUAACACGUGGGUAACCUGCCUCAAAGUGGGGGAUAGCCUUCCGAAAGGAAGAUUAAUACCGCAUAAUAUAAGAGAAUCGCAUGAUUUUCUUAUCAAAGAUUUAUUGCUUUGAGAUGGACCCGCGGCGCAUUAGCUAGUUGGUAAGGUAAUGGCUUACCAAGGCAACGAUGCGUAGCCGACCUGAGAGGGUGAUCGGCCACAUUGGAACUGAGACACGGUCCAGACUCCUACGGGAGGCAGCAGUGGGGAAUAUUGCGCAAUGGGGGAAACCCUGACGCAGCAACGCCGCGUGGGUGAUGAAGGUCUUCGGAUUGUAAAGCCCUGUUUUCUGGGACGAUAAUGACGGUUUUAAGUGGGAUGUGAAAUCCCCGGGCUUAACCUGGGGGCUGCAUUCCAAACUGGAUAUCUAGAGUGCAGGAGAGGAAAGCGGAAUUCCUAGUGUAGCGGUGAAAUGCGUAGAGAUUAGGAAGAACACCAGUGGCGAAGGCGGCUUUCUGGACUGUAACUGACGCUGAGGCACGAAAGCGUGGGUAGCAAACAGGAUUAGAUACCCUGGUAGUCCACGCCGUAAACGAUGGAUACUAGGUGUAGGGGGUAUCAACUCCCCCUGUGCCGCAGUUAACACAAUAAGUAUCCCGCCUGGGGAGUACGGUCGCAAGAUUAAAACUCAAAGGAAUUGACGGGGGCCCGCACAAGCAGCGGAGCAUGUGGUUUAAUUCGAAGCAACGCGAAGAACCUUACCUGGACUUGACAUCCCUUGCAUAGCCUAGAGAUAGGUGAAGCCCUUCGGGGCAAGGAGACAGGUGGUGCAUGGUUGUCGUCAGCUCGUGUCGUGAGAUGUUAGGUUAAGUCCUGCAACGAGCGCAACCCUUGUUAUUAGUUGCUACCAUUAAGUUGAGCACUCUAAUGAGACUGCCUGGGUAACCAGGAGGAAGGUGGGGAUGACGUCAAAUCAUCAUGCCCCUUAUGUCCAGGGCUACACACGUGCUACAAUGGUAGGUACAAUAAGACGCAAGACCGUGAGGUGGAGCAAAACUUAUAAAACCUAUCUCAGUUCGGAUUGUAGGCUGCAACUCGCCUACAUGAAGCUGGAGUUGCUAGUAAUCGCGAAUCAGAAUGUCGCGGUGAAUACGUUCCCGGGCCUUGUACACACCGCCCGUCACACCAUGAGAGCUGGUAACACCCGAAGUCCGUGAGGUAACCGUAAGGAGCCAGCGGCCGAAGGUGGGAUUAGUGAUUGGGGUGAAGUCGUAACAAGGUAGCCGUAGGAGAACCUGCGGCUGGAUCACCUCCUUU